CUCCCUCUCCUCCUCCCGUCAGGCACGCUGCCCGCCGCUGCCGCGUACGCCGGCCGCCUCUUCUAACACCGCAACGGCCCAGGCGCAGCCCAACCGCUCGCUUACACCUCAAGGAGCUCCAAAGCAUGGCAUCUAGGAAAUGAGUAAGGCACCUGGACACAGAAGGCUGACUCAUCUGUUUAUUGCCCCCCGCCACCCUCUGCAAAGGCCUCCCGCUUAGCGCCGAAACACACAGAAUACAGCACUUUCUCCAGGACGGGAAGCGGAUCGCUGCCUUAUUUUACUCCCCAGCUGCCCCAAGAGUAAAUCGCAUCAAUGCGCUACUCCAGUAUCCAGAUGGCAACACAGGACACGCUGCACCCACACGCAUCUCUGAUCUGUGGACGCUCUCCCACUCCUGCCACGCUACUGCUACUCAUCCUCAGCUCUCACCAAAGACGCUCCGGCACAUAACACGGAGAUGAGAACUCUUCCCGCCAGCAUGUGCUCCAGGCAGCUAUCACUGUCAAUCUCACUCUCCGGCUGCACUGCUGUUAUUCUAACAAAAAGAAAAGAUGUACAAUAAUAUAGUAGGGGUUAUUAAUGUACAUACAAGAUGAUGUGCGUUACACUGAAAGGGGCACCUGGAGAAUUUUAAUCCUGCUCUAUAUUUAUUGCAUAUGUAAGUCUGUCUGUCCUUGUGUAUCGCUCCUCACUUUGCUCUAACUCCUACCAUCUCAAUUUCCAGCCUGCUUUCAGAAUUGUGUCAAUUAAAGGAUUUCACAAUCACUUGUUAAAAAAAAAAAAUACAAACAAAAAACAUUCUUGGGAUGUUGUCA